CCAAAAUCCCCUCAAAAUCCCCCCAAAUUCUCUCAAAUCUCCCCAAAUCCACCAAAAUCUCAGAAAUUACUCCCAAAUUUCCCAAAUUUCUUUCUCCAAUUCUCCAAAAUCUCCCAAAUUUGUCCCAAAUUUCCCCAAUUCUCCAAAAUCACCCAAAUUUGUCCCAAAUUUGCCAAAUUUCCCUUUCAAAUACCCCCAAAAUUCCCCAGAUUUGUCCCAAAUUACCCCAAAUCCCCCAAAUUUCUCCCUCAAAUCUCCCAAAAUCUCCUGAAUUUGUCCCAAAUUUCCCUAAAUCCCCCAAAUUUCUCCUUCCAAUCCCCCAAAUUUGUCCCAAAUCCCCCAAAUUUCUCCUUCAAAUCCCUCAAAUUUGCCCUAAAUUUCCUCAAAUCCACCAAAAUCUCCCAAAUUUCCCCGAACUCUCAAAAUUUCUCCCUCAAAUUCCCCAAAUUUUUCCCAAGUCCCCCAAAUUUCUCCCUCAAACCUCCUCAAAAUCCCCCAAAAUUCUCUCAAAUCUCCCCCAAAAUCCCCUCAAAUCUCCCAAAUUCUUCCAAAUUUCCCCAAAUCCCCCAAAUUUCUCCUUCAAAUCCCCUCAAAAUCCCCAAAAGUCUCUCAAAUCUCUCCAAAUCCCCCAAAAUCUCCUGAAUUUGUCCCAAAUUUCCCUAAAUCCACCAAAUUUGUCCUUCAAAUCCCCCAAAUUUGCCCUAAAUUUCCUCAAAUCCACCAAAAUCUCCCAAAUUUCCCCCUCAAAUUCCCAAAAUUCCCCAAAUUUNNNNNNNNNNUCCCCCAAAUUUCUCCCUCAAAUCCCCCAAAAUCCCCUCAAAAUCCCCCCAAAUUCUCUCAAAUCUCCCCAAAUCCACCAAAAUCUCAGAAAUUACUCCCAAAUUUCCCAAAUUUCUUUCUCCAAUUCUCCAAAAUCUCCCAAAUUUGUCCCAAAUUUCCCCAAUUCUCCAAAAUCACCCAAAUUUGUCCCAAAUUUGCCAAAUUUCCCUUUCAAAUACCCCCAAAAUUCCCCAGAUUUGUCCCAAAUUACCCCAAAUCCCCCAAAUUUCUCCCUCAAAUCUCCCAAAAUCUCCUGAAUUUGUCCCAAAUUUCCCUAAAUCCCCCAAAUUUCUCCUUCCAAUCCCCCAAAUUUGUCCCAAAUCCCCCAAAUUUCUCCUUCAAAUCCCUCAAAUUUGCCCUAAAUUUCCUCAAAUCCACCAAAAUCUCCCAAAUUUCCCCGAACUCUCAAAAUUUCUCCCUCAAAUUCCCCAAAUUUUUCCCAAGUCCCCCAAAUUUCUCCCUCAAACCUCCUCAAAAUCCCCCAAAAUUCUCUCAAAUCUCCCCCAAAAUCCCCUCAAAUCUCCCAAAUUCUUCCAAAUUUCCCCAAAUCCCCCAAAUUUCUCCUUCAAAUCCCCUCAAAAUCCCCAAAAGUCUCUCAAAUCUCUCCAAAUCCCCCAAAAUCUCCUGAAUUUGUCCCAAAUUUCCCUAAAUCCACCAAAUUUGUCCUUCAAAUCCCCCAAAUUUGCCCUAAAUUUCCUCAAAUCCACCAAAAUCUCCCAAAUUUCC
rnacentral:lncRNA from 1 species